CACAUGACUCUCGGCAACGGAUAUCUCGGCUCUCGCAUCGAUGAAGAACGUAGCAAAAUGCGAUACCUGGUGUGAAUUGCAGAAUCCCGUGAACCAUCGAGUUUUUGAACGCAAGUUGCGCCCGAGACCUUCUGGUCGAGGGCACGUCUGCCUGGGCGUCAUGC
rnacentral:rRNA from 1 species